AGAGUUUGAUCCUGGCUCAGGACGAACGCUGGCGGCGUGCCUAAUACAUGCAAGUCGAACGCUUUUUCUUUCACCGGAGCUUGCUCCACCGAAAGAAAAAGAGUGGCGAACGGGUGAGUAACACGUGGGUAACCUGCCCAUCAGAAGGGGAUAACACUUGGAAACAGGUGCUAAUACCGUAUAACACUAUUUUCCGCAUGGAAGAAAGUUGAAAGGCGCUUUUGCGUCACUGAUGGAUGGACCCGCGGUGCAUUAGCUAGUUGGUGAGGUAACGGCUCACCAAGGCAACGAUGCAUAGCCGACCUGAGAGGGUGAUCGGCCACACUGGGACUGAGACACGGCCCAGACUCCUACGGGAGGCAGCAGUAGGGAAUCUUCGGCAAUGGACGAAAGUCUGACCGAGCAACGCCGCGUGAGUGAAGAAGGUUUUCGGAUCGUAAAACUCUGUUGUUAGAGAAGAACAAGGAUGAGAGUAAAACGUUCAUCCCUUGACGGUAUCUAACCAGAAAGCCACGGCUAACUACGUGCCAGCAGCCGCGGUAAUACGUAGGUGGCAAGCGUUGUCCGGAUUUAUUGGGCGUAAAGCGAGCGCAGGCGGUUUCUUAAGUCUGAUGUGAAAGCCCCCGGCUCAACCGGGGAGGGUCAUUGGAAACUGGGAGACUUGAGUGCAGAAGAGGAGAGUGGAAUUCCAUGUGUAGCGGUGAAAUGCGUAGAUAUAUGGAGGAACACCAGUGGCGAAGGCGGCUCUCUGGUCUGUAACUGACGCUGAGGCUCGAAAGCGUGGGGAGCGAACAGGAUUAGAUACCCUGGUAGUCCACGCCGUAAACGAUGAGUGCUAAGUGUUGGAGGGUUUCCGCCCUUCAGUGCUGCAGCAAACGCAUUAAGCACUCCGCCUGGGGAGUACGACCGCAAGGUUGAAACUCAAAGGAAUUGACGGGGGCCCGCACAAGCGGUGGAGCAUGUGGUUUAAUUCGAAGCAACGCGAAGAACCUUACCAGGUCUUGACAUCCUUUGACCACUCUAGAGAUAGAGCUUCCCCUUCGGGGGCAAAGUGACAGGUGGUGCAUGGUUGUCGUCAGCUCGUGUCGUGAGAUGUUGGGUUAAGUCCCGCAACGAGCGCAACCCUUAUUGUUAGUUGCCAUCAUUUAGUUGGGCACUCUAGCGAGACUGC
rnacentral:rRNA from 1 species